rnacentral:lncRNA from 1 species
AGGACACAGUCCUGAUCUUACGGAGCUGAGAAGCUAGUGGGCAAGAAAUAAGAAGACACAAGCACCAAGAAGCGUGGAAGCGCCUCCCUGACCAGAACACGCUAUGGACACACACAGGAAGGGGCAUCUAAUGCAGACUGAGGGCCUCUUGGGAUGAUUUCUGGGGAAAAUGACGCAGAGUCCAGAGGGAAAAGCGAUUUAACAGAGAAAGACAGGCCAGGGCAGCCCAAGUGAUGGAAAAGACCUCCCACACUGAGCUAAGGAGUUUAAACUUGACCCUGAAGACCAGGGAGAGUCACUGCAGGGUUUCAAAUGGGAUAUAAAUGCCACAAUCAGAUUAGCAUUUUAGAAAGACCCGAAAGAUAGUGGUGUGUAGAACACAUCGACUGUGGAUAAAAAAGCGAACCAGCAAC